rnacentral:lncRNA from 1 species
UGACGAAGAACCUGCUAGGCAAAGCAAUGAGAUGUCGAAAAAGACUUGUCUCAGGACAAGGUCUUCUUCAUUGGACUAAGCCACGUCCAACACCAAAAGUCGAGCUAAAUGACUUAAAAAUGAAGCGCUUAAUGGGAGGCAACCCAUUUAGGUAUUGUUUUCUUUAGGAUUUUUCUUUCUUUUUCUAUUGAUCUUUUUCUUUUUCUUAGUUUCAGGUGUUUCUUAUAAAACAAAAAAAAAACCAAAAAAAUCAAAAAACCUGAAAAAACGAAAAAGAAGGAUGGUCCCUGACUGCUCGGCCUAGCAGGAACCAAGGAGAAGCAGGAAGAGGCCGCGAGAUAAGCCCCCGCGGUCACAGGUGUUAUGACCGCGGGAAACACCCCUUCAACCGCGGUCGUGUCUUUCUGACCGCGGCCGAGCACUGGUUUGCCGCAGUCGCGUGGCUCCUGACCGCGGCAAAUGGUUGUUGAGAUCAAGCCCGACCCCAAACCACCCACUUCACCUCAUUCCACCUCACCAAUCCCCACUCCACCUCAUUCAUCACUUUCCACCACCUUCAUCACCACCUAUCACCUUCCCAAACCUCUUCGAAUGAAUCUGGUUCAUCUCCACCAGCAUCCCGGAUCCAGGUAAGUUCUCUUUGGCAUUACCAAUUCGAUUAUCUAUGCAUUUUUCUCAUCCAAUCUCGACUUGUUUCACACUGAGGACAGUGUGAUUUAAGUAUGGGGGAGGAUUUCAUCCCUUUCUAACCACUUUUCUUUCAUGAGUCUUGCAUUAUCUACACUUUUUGCAUUUUUCUUAAAGUUUUUCAAAAUCGGUUUUCAAAACAAAAUACGUUUUUAAAGGGAAUGGUGAACAUGAAUCAAUGAUAGUUGACUGUGUGCUUUUAGAUUGUUCCUAGUGACAUGCUAAUUCAUGAUUUAGGACUAGACUAGGCGGUAGCUAAGCACAUUUGAAACGAAGUACCCCAGAUGAAUUUGAAUGAUUUCGAUUUAGAUGAAGGGAUACACUAGCUCUGUUUUAUUUGGACUUAAUUUGGACUUAACUUUCUCAUUGAAGCAUUAGACCAGGGAAACGAAUCAUACAUUCAGGACUCCUUUAUCCUUUUACCACUCUCUGUUGAUCCUGAAUGGCUAGUUCAUCUUUAGCUAGUUCCCCACCUUAACCAAUCCUCUUUCAAACCACAUGCACUCGUUUUUUGUAUUGUCCUAUAUGCAGAUAAGUGCAAAAACGUUGGAGAGAAAGAGGAACGACGCAGUUUUCAGUCAUCAAGGACAGAGAUCUGCGAUUUGCCGGAAAAGUUCCCAGAAGGAUUCAACACAAGAGGAAGCUCAGUUUGCCUUAGAAAAAUCUCAAAUUUUGGUACAAUCUCGUCCUCUAGUCUCUCUCUCUUUAAAAGGCAUUUCUUUUUCAAAAAAAAAAAAAUCCGAAAAUAAGAAAAGAAGGAAAUAAAAGCCUUAGAGAGUCUAGAGAGGUCGAAUUUAAGUCCCAAGGCAACUGGAGUCUGAUUUUAUGGAGUUUUGGAGAUCAUUUUCUGAUUCCCGGAAAGAAUCUAAGUCUGUGGGAAUAACUGUUCACAACAAAGGAGGAAGGAUUAUGCAACAACAUUUGGCAAGAAGAAGUGACUGAAAAUUGCGGUCAUCAACAGAUCCUUAUCUCUCUUGCGGUUUUGCAUAUUAUCUUGCAUCCUCCAGAUUCAUCAGGUAACCCGAAACACUUUAACUCCACCAUUUAAACAGCCCUUUUAAUGUCAAACACCGUCUACCAUGAAUGAUGUCUUUAAUGAGAACUCACUAUUGAACUUAAUGAAUGUAGAGAGCGAGUUGACUGGAAUCAAGAUUUUGAUUGUUUAAGUUUUGCAUGACGGAAAAAGUGGACUAGUAUCUUUUGUGCAUUAGUGAAAAUUUUAUAGACUAAGUUUUGGAUUGAUGCACGAUCUUUGUUCCUAGUUUAGGAGUUCAUGUCUCUGAGAUUUGUGCAUUCCCUAUUUUUGUUUUAACUUAACCAGUUUAGGCUUUGCUUUGUUUGAGGACAAACAAAGGUUUAAGUCUGGGGGAGUUGAUAACACCGUAUUUUGACCACUUUUAUGGAUCGUUUUGAAAUACUUUUUCUAUGUUUUUCUAGUAUUUGUAGUUCCAAGACUCUUUUCAGGUAACUUAGGGAAAAGCUUAACAAAAUGGAUAGAAAACCUGAUUUCAGCUCAGAGUCAAACUGUCAGAAGUUCACCCCCGCUUGAAGGCCUUCUCACCGUCUGAUCCAGCUCAAAUUUGGAGAUCUUAAAGAUGGAAGUAUCAGCUUUCCAGCACACUUUACAUCUUGGCAAUCCAACGGUUCAAUCAAAAGAUACACGAAGAGCAAGAUGUCCCGUAAACCAGCCGGCAAGCGUUUCCACCCGCGGCCAACAGAGCGUUUCCCGCGGUCAGAAGCACCAUGACCGUGGCCAGCCACCCAUUUCCUGCGGUCACACUCAUCCCGAUCGCGGCCAGCUAACUCCGACCCCGAAGGCCCAUUUACGAAGCCCAUAUCAUUUUCCCAGCCUUGAUUCCGGAACCCUAGACCCUAGAGAUGUCUUGAGCACUAAAAAUACAUGUUUUACGAACCCUAAUUGAUAGGCCCUCAUAUGUUCUUAUUGUUUUAGAAUACAUUUUAAGUUUUAGGUUUUAGGGAGAGAGAGAUUUGUCUCUUGAACCCUUGUUCUUUCUUUUUCAAUUUCGGUUUCUAUUCUACUUUUUAAUACUAUGUUUUUGAUUUCGUUCAUCAUGUCUGAGUAUUUCUAUUGUUGGGACUAAGGGAUUUUCGAUGGGGAUUUAUAUGUUCGGUGAGGAUUCCAUGAGCUUUUGAGCCGAAUCUUAUAACUUUUUCUUCUGAAUUCGUUUUUACUGCAUGAGAGUAGCGUCAUGAACUACAAUCUGAUCCAGAUGCUUGGUGACACGAAAGUGUUCAUCCGGUGUCAGAUCUAGUUUGGGAGAGCAAAACAAACAUAGGAGUGGAAACCUACCUAAGGGCGAUUUGUGAAUGCUGAUGAGUCUUAAACAUAAUGCAUCUCUUCUUUUCCAGGGCCAGAGUGGAAACCUACUGGUCAGGGUUGAGAGAGAUAGUUGUCUAUGAUCACGACAGUGGCGUAUUCAUACGUCCGUGACUCCAGUUCGAAAAGUUUAAGCUAAGAUCUUAUCAAAUUUACUCUCUAGCAAUGUUUUGAAUCGUUCGUACAUCUGAGAAAACUUCCCUGAACCCAGUGCUUCUUUUCUUAUAGAUUCACACCGUUUUAUUUCAAGCUUUAAUUUACUAUUUUCAUUCCCUUUUGAUAACACCCUAUUUUGACCACUUUUAUGGAUCGUUUUAAAAUACUUUUAAAUGUCUUUAAUUGCUUUUAAGUACUUUUAUCACGUUUUUCUAGUAUUUGUAGUUCCAAGACUCUUUUCAGGUAACUUAGGUAAAAGCUUAACAAAAUGGAUAGAAAACCAGAUUUCAGCUCAGAAUCAAACCGUCAGAAGUUCACCCCUGAUUGAAGGCCUUCUCACCGUCUGAUCCAGCUCAAAUUUGGAGACCUUAAAGAUGGAAGUAUCAGCUUUCCAGUGCACUUUACAGCUUGGCAAUCCAACAGUUCAAUCAAAAGAUACGCGAAGAGCAAGAUGUCCCGUAAACCAGCUGGCCAGCACUUCCACACGCGGCCAACAAGCAUUUUCCCGCGGCCAGGAGCAUCCCGACCGCGGCAAACCAUACAUUCCCCGCGGUCAGAGCACUCCCGACCGCGGCCUUCAACCUCCAAGCCCAAAAAGCCCAUUUCUGAAGCCCACAUUUGGAGAAACCCUAAGUGACGUCCAGAGAGGUCUUGAGCAUUAUAAAUACAUGUCUUAGGAGCCUUAGAAAUCGUAUGUAACCUUAGAGAACCGAUUUAUCUACUUCAUACUUUCAUUGUUUUUGCUUUAGCUUUUAGGGAGAGAGAUUUGUUCUCUUGAACCCUUGUUCUUUCUUUUUCAAUUUCGGUUUCUAUUCUACUUCUUAAUAUUAUGUCUUUGAUUUCGUUCAUUAUGUCUGAGUAGUUUUAUUGUUGGGAUUAAGGGAGUUUCGAUUGGGAUUUAUAUGUUCGAUGAGGAUUCCAUUGGCUAUUGAGCUGAAUCUUAGAACUUUUUCUUCUGAAUUCGUUUUUACUGCAUGAGAGUAGCGUCAUGAACUACAAUCUGAUCCAGAUGCUUGGUGACACGAAAGUGUUCAUCAGGUAUCAGAUCUAGUUUGGGAGAGCAAAACAAACAUAGGAGUGGAAACCUACCUAUGGGCGAUUUGUGAAUUAGGACGAGUCUUAAACAUAAUGCAUCUCUUCUCUUCCAGGGCCAGAGUGGAAACCUACUGGUCAGGGUUGAGAGAGAUAGUUGUCUAUGAUCACGACAGUGGCGUAUUCAUACGUCCGUGACUCCAGUUCGAAAAGUUUAAGCUAAGAUCUUACAAAAUUUUCUCUCUAGCAAUGUUUUGAAUCGUUCGUACCCCUGAGAAAACUUCCCUGAAGCCCAACGCUUUCUUCUCCAUUGUUAUACACCGAUUUUCUUUAAAGCUUUAGUUCAAUAUUGUCUUUCCUUUUUAGUUUAUUUUCAUUUAAGCAUUAGAAUAUCCGUUUUUAUCAUUUUUAGUUAUUUUCAUUAAGUUUAGUUAUUACGUCAUUUAAUUCUCGUAUUCUCUUUUAAUAUUUUGUUUUUACAUUUUAAAGACACCACCAAACCCCCACUAAACCGUUUUUGUUCUAGACUUCCUUACUUUAACUUAUUUCAAAGGCUUUUUACAGCAAAAGAUCCUCCUUCCCUGUGGAUUCGAUCCCUAAGUACUACAAUUGAUCAGCUGUGCACUUGCGGCUAUCGAUUUCAAUUAGGGUAAAACUUGACAACCCUCGACACCCACACACACAUCAAGUCACCAUCAAGUUUUUGGCGCCGUUGCCGGGGAAGGCACGCGUUUUCUUUUCUGCAAAACCCCGAGAAAGGUUAGUAAAUCGACUCUAGAACCCCCUUUUCUGCAACUUUCCAUUUUUCGGUUAUUUUGUUUCCAUUUCAGAAGAUAUGGAUCCUAUAAAUCGAAAUAUACACUAUGAGGAAGGUUUCUAUAACACUCCUCAAGCCACAAGACGCAGAGAAGAACCUCAAGCCCGAAAUUUUAGCUACAUGGAUCGAUACAGCCAGCCGGGAAGAUCCUUAUGGCCCUCCUCCAACCUACUUCGAGCCACACGCCUAUAAUCCUCCACUUCAGGACCCUAAUCAGCAAGAGGACAACUUGAGGAUCAGCAGACGUUUGGGACACCUCGAAGGAAUGAUUAACCAGUUCCUUGAUCAGCAGAUUCUCACCGAGAACACCCUGCUCAAGAAAAUUGAUUCAAUCUCUGAAGAGUUCAACAAAAAAUUCGAUGAGAUGGCCAAUCAUGUUCGAGUUUUGGAAGAGCAAACCCACAAGGACUCACAAACACUAGCUGGGAUGAUCCAUCAAGUCGCAAUAGAGCAAACAAGACAAGGGUAUGACAUCAUACAAAACUCAAGUGAUAUUGCUGAAUCAAAACAGGAGAUUAAAGAAGUCAGAGAGUCCACCUCCUGGUAUAGAGAGAAGACAAACGAAGAGUUGCAAGAGAUCGAGCACAGGCUGAACAAACUCGAGCUCAAAGCACGAGAGAUUGAUGCAAGAAUGGAGCAUAUGCCCAACAUUGAGCAAUUUGAGAGGUUUUCUAAGAAAUCUCCCAAGGAUCCUGAUGAAGAUGCACAUCAACGCCCUGGUAUGAGUUCAUAUGAUGCUAGUCUACCUAAUAAAGAUGCAGGAGAAGUUCGUGUCAAGUACAAGAAGGAAGAACGGACUUUGAGCAAGUCAUAUCCGGAGCCGCGGGUCCAAGCAUCCUGACCGCGGACAAGAGCACUUUUCCCGCGGUCGCGACUCCUCUGACCGCGGGAGUUGGUCGUUCAGAUGUUCCUCCGGGUUUUGAGAGGAAAAUAAUACAUCUCCUGUCCCAACUUCAGCCUCCAGCACCUAAAAAAACAACUCAGGAAGAAGAAAACCAAGUUUCAGAUGAAGAACCAGAUUUACAUGAAUCAUUACCUUGUAUGAUGGCAAAGGAAUGUGUCGAAGAUUCAGCUGACUCUUCAAUCCAAGAAGACCAGACGUGCAGCAAGAUAAAGAUGCCAUACAUUGAUUCAAUCAUUGAAUAUGACGCUGCAGCUUUCUUUUGUGAAUCCUAUUCUGCGUUUUAGACACCAGCCAACACCUACAGAGAAAGGCAAGUUCGAAUUCUCCAUAAGGUCAAGACUACAGGUCAGUUUCUUAUCUCUUGUUCUAUUAGAGGAGAAAUGUUUAAAAACGUGCUAUGUGAUUCUGGAGCUUGUCUUAACAUGAUGUCCAAGAAAAUUGCUUUGAGACUUGGUAUUAGACACCUGCGCAGGACUAAAGCAAAGAUUAGCUUAGCUGAUGAUUCAAAUGCAAUACCUCAAGGAAUAGCUCAUGAAAUUCCUUUGAGAAUAGGAGAUUGCAUAGUGCCUGUCGACUUCUACAUUGUCGAGACGAGAGAUGCAACAUAUCCAGUGAUUCUGGGAUGGUCUUUUCUAGCAACUUCCGGAGCUAUAAUGGACUGGCCAAACAGGAGGGUUUCAUUUGCUAAUAUCGAAAAAGAUGUCUUCACAGAAGCUGUUCCAUACAACAGCAAAGCAGGAAAACGUUCUGCAGCAGAAGAGUUUGAAGAAGAACUUUGGAGUGAAGAAGAACCUGCUAAGCAAAGCAAGGAGAUGUUGAAAAAGACUUGUCUCAGGACAAGGUCUUCUUCAUUGGAAUAAGUCACGUCCAACACCAAAAGUCGAGCUAAACGACUUAAAACAAAAGCGCUUAAUGGGAGGCAACCCAUUUAGGUAUUGUUUUCUUUAGAAUUUUUCUUUCUUUUUCUUUUGAUCUUUUUCUUUUUCUUAGUUUCGGGUGUUUCUUAUAAAACAAAAAAGCCAAAAAAAAUAAAAAAACCAGAAAAAAACCAAAAAGAAGGAAGGUACCUGACUGCUCGGCCCAGCAGGAACCAAGGGGAAGCAGGAAGAGGCCGCGAUAUUAACCCUGCAGUCGCAGGUGUUCGGACCGCGGGAAACACAUCAUCGACUGCGGUCGCGUGAAUAUGACCGCGGCCAAGUACUUGUUUGCCGCGGUCGUAUGGCCCCUGACCACGGCACUUGGUCGUUGACAUCAAACCCGACCCUAAACCACCCCUUUCACCUCAUUUCACCUCACCAAUCACCCUCCACCUCAUUCAUCACCAUCCACCACCUUCAUCACCACCAACCACCUUCCCAAACAUCUUCGAAUGAAUCCGGUUCAUUUCCACCAGCAUCCCGGAUCCAGGUAAGUUCUCUUUGUUCUUACCAAUUCGAUUAUCUAUGCAUUUUUCUCAUCCAAUCUCGACUUGUUUCACACUGAGGACAGUGUGAUUUAAGUCAGGGGGAGGAUUUCAUCCUUUUCUAACCACCUUUCUUUCAUGAGUCUUGCAUUAUCUACACUUUUUGCAUUUUUCUUAAAGUUUUUCAAAAUCGGUUUUCAAAACAAAAUACGUUUUAAAAGGGAAUGGUGAACAUGAAUCAAUGAUAGUUGACUGUGUGCUUUAGACUGUUCCUAGUGACUUGCUCAUUCAUGAUUUAGGACUAGACUAGGCGGUAGCUAAGCACAUUUGAAACGAAGUACCCCAGAGGAAUAUGAAUGAUUUCGAUUUAGAUGAAGGAUACACUAGCUCUGUUUUAUUUGGACUUAAUUUGGACUUAAUUUUCUCAUUGAAGCAUUAGACCAGGGAAACGAAUCAUACAUUCAGGACUCCUUUAUCCUUUUACCACUCUCUGUUGAUCCUGAAUGGCUAGUUCAUCUUUAGCUAGUUCCCCACCUUAACCAAUCCUCUUUCAAGCCACAUGCACUCUUGUUAUAUGCAGAUAAGUGCAAAAACGUUGGAGAGAAAGAGGAACGACGCAGUUUUCAGUCACCAAGGACAGAGACCUGCGAUUUGCCGGAAAAGUUCCCGGAAGGAUUCAACACAAGAGGAAGCUCAGUUUGCCUUAGAAAAAUCUCAAAUUUUGGUACAAUCUCGUCCUCUAGUCUCUCUCUCUUUAAAAGGCAUUUCCUUUUCAAAAAAAAAAAAUCCGAAAAUAAGAAAAGAAGGAAAUAAAAGCCUUAGAGAGUCUAGAGAGGUUGAAUUUUAAGUCCCAAGGCAACUGGAGUUCGAUUUUAUGGAGUUUUGGAGAUUGUUUUCUGAUUCCCGGAAAGAAUCUAAGUCUGGGGGAACAACUGUUUACAACAAAGGAGGAAGGAUUAUGCAACAACAUUUGGCAAGAAGAACUGACUGAAAACUGUGGACAUCAACAGGUCCUUAUCUCUCUUGCGGUUUUGCAUAUUAUCUUGCAUCCUCCAGAUCUUCAGGUAACCCGAAACACUUUAACUCCACCACUUAAAUAGCCUUUUAACGCCAAAUGCCGUCUACCCUGGAUGAUGUCUUUAAUGAGAACUCACUAUUGAACUUAAUGAAUGUAGAGAGCUAGUUGACUGAAAUCAAGAUUUAGAUUGUUUAAGUUUUGCAUGACGGAAAAAGUGGACUAGUAUCUCUUGUGCUUUAGUGAGAAUUUUCUAGACUAAGUUGUGGAUUGAUGCACUAUCUUUGGUCCUAGUUUAGGAGUUCAUGUCUAUGAGAUUUGUGCAUUCCCUAUUUUUGUUUUCACUUAACCAGUUUAGGCUUUUGCUUUGUUUGAGGACAAACAAAGGUUUAAGUCUGUGGGAGUUGAUAACACCGUAUUUUGACCACUUUUAUGGAUCGUUUUGAAAUACUUUUUAUAUGUUUUUAAUUGCUUUUUAAGUACUUUUAUCACGUUUUUCUAGUAUUUGUAGUUCCAGGACUCUUUUCAGGUAACUUAGGGAAAAGCUUAACAAAAUGGAUAGAAAACCAGAUUUCAGCUCAGAGUCAAACCGUCAGAAGUUCACCCCUGGUUGAAGGCCUUCUCACCGUCUGAUCCAGCUCAAAUUUGGAGACCUUAAAGAUGGAAGUAUCAGCUUUCCAGUGCACUUUACAGCUUGGCAAUCCAACGGUUCAAUCAAAAGAUACGCGAAAAGCAAGAUGUCCCGUAAACCAGCUGGCCAGCACUUCCACCCGCGGCCAACAAGCAUUUUCCCGCAGUCAGGAGCAUCCCGACCGCGGCAAACCAUACAUUCCCCGCGGUCAGAGCACUCCCGACCGCGGCCUUCAACCUCCAAGCCCAAAAAGCCCAUUUCUGAAGCCCACAUUAGGAGAAACCCUAAGUGACGUCCAGAGAGGUCUUGAGCUCUAUAAAUACAUGUCUUAGGAGCCCUAGAAAUCGUGUGUAACCUUAGAGAACCGAUUUAUUUACUUCAUACUUUCAUUGUUUUUGCUUUAGCUUUUAGGGAGAGAGAUUUGUUCUCUUGAACCCUUGUUCUUUCUUUUUCAAUUUCGGUUUCUAUUCUACUUCUUAAUAUUAUGUCUUUGAUUUCGUUCAUUAUGUCUGAGUAGUUUUAUUGUUGGGAUUAAGGGAGUUUCGAUGGAGAUUUAUAUGUUCGAUGAGGAUUCCAUUGGCUAUUGAGCUGAAUCUUAGAACUUUUUCUUCUGAAUUCGUUUUUACUGCAUGAGAGUAGCGUCAUGAAUUACAAUCUGAUCCAGAUGCUUGGUGACACGAAAGUGUUCAUCAGGUAUCAGAUCUAGUUUGGGAGAGCAAAACAAACAUAGGAGUGGAAACCUACCUAUGGGCGAUUUGUGAAUUAGGACGAGUCUUAAACAUAAUGCAUCUCUUCUCUUCCAGGGCCAGAGUGGAAACCUACUGGUCAGGGUUGAGAGAGAUAGUUGUCUAUGAUCACGACAGUGGCGUAUUCAUACGUCCGUGACUCCAGUUCGAAAAGUUUAAGCUAAGAUCUUACAAAAUUUUCUCUCUAGCAAUGUUUUGAAUCGUUCGUACCCCUGAGAAAACUUCCCUGAAGCCCAACGCUUUCUUCUCCAUUGUUAUACACCGAUUUUCUUUAAAGCUUUAGUUCAAUAUUGUCUUUCCUUUUUAGUUUAUUUUCAUUUAAGCAUUAGAAUAUCCAUUUUUAUCAUUUUUAGUCAUUUUCAUUAAGUUUAGUUAUUACGUCAUUUAAUUCUCGUAUUCUCUUUUAAUAUUUUGUUUUUACAUUUUAAAGACACCACCAAACCCCCACUAAACCGUUUUUGUUCUAGACUUCCUUACUUUAACUUAUUUCAAAGGCUUUUUGCAGCAAAAGAUCCUCCUUCCCUGUGGAUUCGAUCCCUAAGUACUAUAAUUGAUCAGCUGUGCACUUGCGGCUAUCGAUUUCAAUUAGGGUAAAACUUGACAACCCUCGACACCCACACACACAUCAAGUCACCAUCACCUUUCAAUCGAUUUUCAUUUAAGCAAUUAGGUUAGCCGUUUUUCCUGUGUUUUACCUGUUUUCAUUAAGUUUAGUUAUUAGGUCAUUUUAAUUCCCGUAGUUUCUUUUUAAAUUUUGUUUUUACGUUUUAAACACACCACCAAAACCCCCACAAAACCGUUUGGUUCUAGACUUCCUUCAUAUUUCUUUCAAAGGCUUUUGUAGGAAAGAUCCUCCUUCCCUGUGGAUUCGAUCCCUAAGUACUACAAUCGAUCAGCUGUGCACUUGCGGCUAUUGAUUUCAUUUAGGGUAAAACUUGACAACCCUGAUAAUUAAGAGUUUUGGCUCUUUAAAGAGGUUAUCAAUACCCCUGUCCUUGUAGUACAAGGGGUUAUCAAACCAAACUUGUGAUGGAGGCACUAAUCUAUGUUACUUGUAUCAAAAGUCAAGAGGGAAAUGGUAAAGGUUUUAGCUAAACUAAUUAACAAGUGAAUGAGCAUAAAAAUGAAAUAAGAGAUGAGGUUUGAACUAAGUGAAGAUGCAAAUGACAAGCAAAUGGUUCGGAUGAUGAUAAUAUAUGAUAAAGGCAGAAGCUUUAGACAUGAUACUUGACUCGGGUGCUUCCAAGUUAAACUAAUGGGUUAAUGAAUCAUUUUAUCAAGCGGUUUCAUUUAACUUCGAACUCAAGGCAUGUUAAUCUUCUCAUGAAAGUAUUAAACAUCUAAACUGAUCCUCUUUCAUACCAAAAUCCCUUUUGAGAAGCAUGAAUCAGUCAGCAAUAAGAUUCAGUUCAAUAUGUCAUUUAAGAGAACAAACUAUCACUCUCGCGAUGAAAGACCCUUAAACCUUUAACCGAGUGGUUCAGACAUUUCUACAAACACUUUUGAUGCGAGAUAUGUCUCAGAUCUGAACCUCAAGUGAUGUGCUUGGAUCCAGCCUAGAGAUCUCGUCGGUUAAAGAAUGAAACAUGCAAGACUAGACACCUAAACCCAUUAAUCUAUCUUGAAAGCACCCUAAUCUACCUAUCUAAAGCCGCUUAAACGACUACUCACUGAUCAUAACGAGCUCACUAAGUCCUUUGCAAGACGUGUAGCGAGUCAUGAUAAGGAGUGUGAUGCUGGAUGAUAAAAGAGAUAAAGAAAGAACAAGAUUCUGAUGCAAAAACGAGAUAUCGGAUUAGAUUAAUCAAGUUUCACAAAAGAGGCAAGUUCUUAAGGCUAAAAGAUGAUAAGAGAUAAGAUGAUUAGGUUUUUGGUCCUAAAAUGUAUUUAUAGUAAAGGGAAAGUGUCGCGGGUCAGCCCGGAACAAACCGGGUACUGAGCCGCCUUCUUGGGUUGAUGGGUGAGUGCCACGGUGUGUCGGAGAGUGAAGCCGAGGUCUUUAUGUCGAGGAGUGCAUGUGAGCCAAGAUCCAAAUGGACAUCUCGUGAAGAACACGUCAAGAACAUGCAUGAACCCUAGUCUUUGAUCCAUCUUCUCGUGUGUGUUCUUGAGCCGUCUUGUUCUCGAUUCUGGAGUUGUGAAAAGGGACCUCGCCAUAAAAUGUCGCGGGGCUUGGUAGUCGAGGGGUUCGGGAGAACAGAGUCCGGCAUGCACGCCGAGGCCAUUACACCGAGGUGCACGUUCAACACUUAGUCGUUUCCAGCUUCAUUUCUUACGUGUGCAUGCCUUGAUCUCAUCAUGCCGAGGUGUCAGCACGAGGUCUAGUCCAAAAUACUCCCAAGAUAUGAGCCUUGACUUGAGCAAUGUCGAGAUACUGAUGCCGAGGCUUGAGAAAAUACUUAGCGCGUAUCGCAACUCAUUUAGGCUCGUAUCGACCAUAUUGCCUUCCGAAAGCAGUAACUUUAAACACACGACUCCAAUUGCUCUGAGACCAGUUCCAUAGUCAAGAUGACUCAAUAAGCUCGAACUUUGGUGAAGAAACCCUCGGAGCUUGUGAUAUAAUCUUGGAUAGCAUCAAUAACGAGUGGGAACCAGAUGGAAAACCGCAAGGAGCUAAGGAGCUAAGGAGUAAAGACAAGGUUCAGGAAAUGGAACAAGAAGACACUUUGCUCAUUACAAACGGUCCUAUAACCCGAGCAAAGGCUAAGAGGCUCAAGGAAGCUGUUGGGGAAAUACUUAAGCAUGGAACGCUUGUGGAACAGAAGGGAAAAGAGAUGGGCACAACUACACUAGUUGUGAUCCAAGUCCGAGAAGACUAAUGGGCUUGUGAUCCAACUAUGUACUCUUUUUCCCUAUCUCAAGUUUUGUCCCAAUGGGUUUUCUUGAGAUAGGUUUUUAAUGAGGCAUAGUUUGGAUCACCUCACAUCUAAGCCCAUCAGCCGAGUCCAAAGCAGAAGAAGAGGAGCGUGUAAAGAAGAGUUCGAAUUCAAACUUGGCCAGCUUUCAAAGAACUAGUUCCUAGACACUUUAAUGCUUUGUAGACUCACAUGUGUUUCUCUUUAUAUUCACUUGUAAACUCUCUUUUGAGACUAUCUUAUCUUUUAAUCAAAAUCUUUUCUUAGUAAGAUCAAUUUUCUUGUUGGUGUGUAAUAUCCUUCAAGGCCUUUCGAUUCAUCUCUGGUGUGUAAUAUCCUUAGUUGAUUCGGAAACCAUUCAUCAAGGGUCUUCCGCAACCCUUGGCGUCUUAUCUAAACCCACAAACCUUGAUACAAUUCGCUUGUGUGCAAGGCUAUCCCCUUUGAUCCAGUUUAGUGAGUGUCGAUUUCAGGGAGAAUCAUAUUAAGUGGUAUCAGAGCAAGCACUCAAACCGCUGGAUCGUCGAAAACAUCAGGUUGUAUCUUUCCUUGUUGUUUCUCGAUUGUUUUUGAGUUUACAAGUUUGAUCAUCAUCACCGUUUAAUCGAAUCUGUUACUUGUGUUCUACUGCAUCAAACUAACCUAGAUUUAUUAAGCAGGAUCGAAUAUCUGAGAUCUAGUUGCUAUCAAAACGGAUAGAUCUAAGUGCCUUUUUAACUUCUAGGCUCGAAUCCGUUUUUUGCAUAUCUGACUUUUCGAAUUCAAUCUAUCGAUCAUGAUUUCUUGUAGAACACGAAUAGUCACUUUUGUUUUGUAAAACGAUCAGAGAAUUGUUGCUAGUGAUUUCGUGUUAUCCUUGUUUCAGGAACAAUGAGUGAUCAACAAGAAGAGUCCAGUGCUAAUGGUGUUAACAAAUUAUACAUGGAGGCAAUGUUAGCCGAAGUUAAGAAGCUUGUGACCGUGAGCCUCGAGGAGUUUCGACAGGAGAUUCAAGAGCAGACCAAACCAAAGGCUAGCAAAGAUAAGAGAAGAGAUCUAGGGAAAGAACCUGAGGAAGUUUUGGAGCCGACUAGACCUCUCAGAGAUGAUGCGGCCACAGAUUAUUACGGUCUUCUUAGUAGUUCCUCAAGAGACAGUCGAAGAAGGCAUAGGCGACACAAGGAAGAACGAGUUCAAGAGGGUUUUGGAGGAGUUAAACUCAGGAUCCCUCCUUUUCACGGCAAAAACGACCCUGAUGCCUACUUAGAGUGGGAAAAGAAGAUCGAAUUGUUGUUCAAUUGCCAACAAUUCGCCGGGAUUAAUCGAGUGAAGAUAGCCACUACCGAGUUCUACGAUUAUGCUCUUUGUUGGUGGGAUCAGGUUGUUACGACUAGAAGAAGAAAUCAGCAAUUUCCUAUUGAUACUUGGGAGGACAUGAAAUCUCUCAUGAGAAAAAGGUUUGUGCCAAGUCACUACCAUAGAGAAUUGCACCAAAGACUUAGACGGCUCACACAAGGCAACCGAUCUGUUGAAGAUUACUAUCAAGACAUGAAGACCUUGAUGCUACGAGCUGAUAUUCGAGAAGAUGCUGAAGCCACUAUGUCUCGUUUCUUAGGAGGAUUGAACAGAGAGAUUCAAGACAAGCUUGACAUGCAGCAAUAUGAGGAAUUAGAAGAUAUGUUGCAUAAGGCCAUCCUCAUAGAACAACAGCUCAAGAGGAGAAACACCAAAACCGUUUAUGGAGCUGGAGGAAUGCCUACUAAACCAAGAUAUUCUAGAGAGGAGAAGCCGAGUUCAGUAUCAAAAGAAGAGAAGCCAGCCGGUGUCUCUAAAGAAGAACCUAAGUCAUUCACUUCGGUAUCAGAUAACCGAAACAAAGCUAUGGGGCCAACAAGAACCAGAGACGUUAAGUGUUUCAAGUGUCUUGGAAGAGGGCAUUACGCAAACGAGUGUUCGAAUAAGAAGAUCAUGAUACUCAAAGACGAUGGCGAAUGGGAAUCAACAGCUGAGUCUGAAGCCGAAUCUCAUUCUGAACAUGAAGAGCUUCCUGCUCAUGGCUCCUUACUUGUAUCAAGAAGGUCUCUAAGCGUGCAAGCCAAAGCUAUAGAAGAGGAGCAGAGAGAGAAUUUGUUUCAUAGCCGGUGCCUUGUACAAGGAAAAGUUUGUAGUCUCAUCAUAGAUGGCGGUAGCUGCACCAACGUAGCCAGUCAAGAGAUGGUUCAAAAGCUCAACCUAGCCACCGAGAAGCACCCCCGACCCUACAUGCUCAACUGGUUGAAUAAUGAUGGGGAAUUAAAGGUCAACAGCCGUGUCAUGGUCCCUAUUAGUAUUGGAGGAUAUGAAGACGAGAUACAGUGUGAUGUGUUGCCCAUGGACGCAUGACACAUACUUCUAGGCCGGCCAUGGCAAUCGGAUCGAAAGGUUAUUCAUGAUGGGUUUACUAACAAGUAUUCCUUUAUUUUUAAAGGCAGGAAGACAACCCUCAUACCUUUGACGCCACAAGAAGUCUACCAGGAUCAAAUGCAGCUAAAGCAAAAGACAAAGCCGCCUACUAAAGCAUCUAACUUCUACUUGAGGGCUGGUGAUGUCAAAAGAUCUCUUAGUUCUAACCAACCGGUUCUUUUAUUUGUGUUUAAGGAGGCUCUCACCAAUAUGACUAACCUCACACCGGUUUUGCCGAGUAAAAUUCAAACUCUUUUGCAGGAAUACAAUGAUGUCUUCCCUGAAGAUAAUCCUAAAGAGUUACCUCCUUUUAGAGGCAUUGAACAUCAGACUGAUUUCAUGCCUGGUGCUUCAUUACCUAAUCGCCCUGCUUAUAGAACCAAUCCGGUUAAGACAAAGGAGUUACAAAGACAAGUCGAUGAACUAAUGGAGAAAGGACAGCAAAAGCUUAAUAAGAGACACGCGAGGUGGAUUGAGUUCAUUGAGACAUUUCCCUAUGUCAUCAAAUACAAGAAAGGUUAGGACAAUGUAGUUGCCGAUGCAUUGUCUCGAAGGUACACUCUACUCUCUACUCUUGAUGCUAAGCUUCUUGGUUUUGAACAACUUAAACUUCUGUACUCAUCUGAUUCGGAUUUUCAAACUAUUUAUGAGUCUUGUGCUACGUUUGCUUCGGGUUAUUAUCAUAGACAAGAGGGAUUUAUUUUCUUUCAUAAUCGUUUGUGUAUCCCUAAUUGUUCUAUUCGAGACUUGUUAGUCAGGGAAGCUCAUGGAGGAGGACUCAUGGGACAUUUUGGUAUAGCCAAAACCUUGAAAGUAUUACAAGAUCAUUUUCACUGGCCUCACAUGAAGAGGGACGUUGAGCGAGUUUGUUCAAGAUGUGCGACCUGUAAGCAAGCUAAAGCUAAGGUUCAGUCCAACGGUUUGUAUACACCUUUACCUAUUCCUUAUCAUCCUUGGACUGAUAUAUCAAUGGAUUUCAUGCUUGGAUUGCCUAGAACUAGGACUGGAAAGGAUUCGAUCUUUGUUGUAGUUGAUAUGUUCUCUAAAAUGGCGCAUUUUAUUGCAUGUAACAAGACUGAUGAUGCAUCGCAUGUAGCUAAUCUGUUCUUUAGGGACAUUGUUCGAAUACAUGGCAUGCCUAGGACCAUAGUAUCUGAUCGAGAUACCAAAUUCUUAAGCUACUUUUGGAAAACUUUAUGGUCUAAGCUAGGUACAAAGCUCUUGUUUUCCACUACUUGUCACCCACAGACUGAUGGACAAACUGAAGUAGUGAAUAGAACAUUGUCUACAUUGUUGCGAGCAUUGAUUAAAAAGAAUCUUAAGGCAUGGGAAGACUGUUUGCCUCAUGUAGAAUUCACAUAUAACCAUUCAGUGCAUUCAACUACUAAAUUCUCGCCUUUUGAAAUUGUUUAUGGCUUUAAUCCUUUGUCGCCUUUGGAUCUAACCUCUCUUCCUUUGAGUGAAAGAACUAGCCUAGAUGGAAAGAAAAGAGCAGAGCUUGUUAAACAGAUCCACGAGAAAGCCAGAGCUAACAUAGAGGAGAAAACAAAGCAAUAUGUCAAGCACGCUAACAGAAGCCGACGCAAGCUUACCUUUGAAGUGGGACAUCUCGUUUGGGUGCACCUAAGGAAGGAGAGAUUUCCAGCAGAAAGGAGAGAUUUCCAGCAGAAAGGAAGUCUAAGCUGAUGCCGAGAGUGGAUGGACCCUUUGAGAUAGUUAGAAAGAUCAAUGAUAACGCUUAUCAACUUGAUCUACAAGGUAAGUACAAGAUAAGUUCUUCUUUCAAUAUUUCUGACUUGAUUCCUUAUUUUGCAGAUGAUCCAGAUUUGAGGACAAAUCAUUUUCAAGAAGAGGGGGAUGAUAUGAUCUUGGAUAGCAUCAAUAACGAGUGGGAACCAGAUGGAAAACCGCAAGGAGCUAAGGAGCUAAGGAGUAAAGACAAGGUUCAGGAAAUGGAACAAGAAGACCCUUUGCUCAUUACAAAAGGUCCCAUGACCCGAGCAAAAGCUAAGAGGCUCAAGGAAGCUGUUGGGGAAAUACUUAAGCAUGGAACGCUUGUGGAACAGAAGGGAAAAGAGAUGGGCACAACUACACUAGUUGUGAUCCAAGUCCGAGAAGACUAAUGGGCUUGUGAUCCAACUAUGUACUCUUUUUCCCUAUCUCAAGUUUUGUCCCAAUGGGUUUUCUUGAGAUAGGUUUUUAAUGAGGCAUAGUUUGGAUCACCUCACAUCUAAGCACAUCAGCCGAGUCCAAAGCAGAAGAAGAGGAGCGUGUAAAGAAGAGUUCGAAUUCAAACUUGGCCAGCUUUCAAAGAACUAAUUCCUAGACACUUUAAUGCUUUGUAGACUCACAUGUGUUUCUCUUUAUAUUCACUUGUAAACUCUCUUUUGAGACUAUCUUAUCUUUUAAUCAAAAUCUUUUCUUAGUAAGAUCAAUUUUCUUGUUGGUGUGUAAUAUCCUUCAAGGCCUUUCGAUUCAUCUCUGGUGUGUAAUAUCCUUAGUUGAUUCGGAAACCAUUCAUCAAGGGUCUUCCGCAACCCUUGGCGUCUUAUCUAAACCCACAAAUCUUGAUACAAUUCGCUUGUGUGCAAGGCUAUCCCCUUUGAUCCAGUUUAGUGAGUGUCGAUUUCAGGGAGAAUCAUAUUAGCUUGGGAAGGGGAAGGCUUCCUGGAUUUCACAUCUUUGCGUCGCAUUGGAAUCACCGGAAAAUAAGCUUUUGGACCGAUGUGAACUCCGGAGACUUUAUUUUCCAAACCACUGUUCCGAAUAGAGCAAUUCCAACUGUUCUGAGAAAGUUUUUCACAGAUCUCAAACUUUGUUGAAGACCGAGCAGGCUUGUUCGGACCGGAAAGGCUCCGUCCUUCGUGAUCUUUGAAGUCUGCUGUUCGGUUCUCGAGUACGCGCAGUACUGGUGCAUUUUCCGGAAGCCGUAUCUUUCUCCUCACUGGUCCGAAUUGGAUGAUUCCAACUGUUCCGGGAUCUUUGCUUGAUUAUCUCCAACUUUGAUAAAGACCUCGCCAACUGAUUCGGACCAGAAGGUUCCCCGGAUUGCUGAUCUUUGAAACGCGCGGGCAAGGAUAGGUUUUAGCCGAGAAAAGCUUCCCGCGGUAAGGAAAAUGACCGAGGGCUAUGUACCGCGGUAAGCUUUUUAGCCGUAAAAUUCCUCUCGCCUCGGCCAAAAACUUAACCCGAGGUAAUUUGCACCCGAUACUCGACCUUGGUCGAUUUUGGUCGAUCGGUAAGGGUUUUGGUCGAUAAUGAGCGUUCGGUAAGCUUUUUGACCGAGGUUUCUGUCCAGCCGGUACGAGUUUUGGCCGAGAAAUUCCUCCAAGCGGUUUUCACCAUUUUUGACCCUUUUCUUCACCGUUUUCUUUUCUGCUCCUCUUCUUAAGCUCCAAAUGGCUCCCAAAGCACCUGAUAAAGACUUCAAAACAUGCAAAACUCUUUGGGACCUAAUGCAAGCCCUAAAUCCUUUUGAUGCCUAAAGACUCAAUUUACAUGGGAAAACACAUGAUGAGGACUCUAAAAUGCAACCUAAAUGAUGCAAAAUAUAGACAUAUCAACUCCCCCACACUUGUCCUUUGCUUGUCCUCAAGCGAAAAGAACAAAUGAGAGAGAGAGGUUGUAGUGCAGAUGGAGCUCAUAUUUCCUUUUUAGAGAGAAGUGAUCACAAUAAGAACUCGGAUUCAUGCUCAAAUAUGCAAUGCAAAGCUAUACUCAGAUAUUUUCCAACUAAAGCACGGAAUCUCCACAAGUCAUCAUCACAUUCAACUCUUUCAAAUUCAUUAAGUUCGUAACCGGUGAAUCAAAUGAUGCAAUGUUCAAAUAGGCUGGCAUGGCUAGGCUAAGGUCAUGAGAUAAAAAUGAUCUCAUCAAUAUUCAAGCGGGAGCAAUGCAGCAAAGGGAUCUCUCUAUGAACGACCAAACUUUGGCAGAAUGCUAAAGGUAAAAAGCAACCUAUGCAUACAAGGGCAAGACUCAUCACACCCCACACUCCACUCAAAGCUUUCUCACUUGCUCACCCUCUCAAGAUCCUCACUCUUCUCAAUCGUUUUCUGUUCACUAGGGGGCUCACUUUCUGCUUUCAUUCUCAAGUCUUGGAGUUCAUUUAUUCGCAUAGCUCUUCCCUUUCACAUCGUAUAGUCUCUUUUCUUUUCAUUUUAGAACACUUGAGCCUUUUUGGCUUCUUUUCAUCUCAGAGACUAAAUUUUUCUUUUAAAAACAUCAGAGCUCAUCUUUUCAAAUCCAAGACUCAGUUCUUUUUCUUUCAUCCCCCUAGCUAUUUCCACUUCCUCUUUUCCACUCAACUCACCUUUUUCCACUCACUAACAAGUCUUUUCCCCCACACUUAUUCCUCGCCAAUACUCUCAGUUCCUUGAUGUUGGAACAUAGCACUCAAUGAGACAUGCCCUUGUCGCUCUAAACCUAACACUUUCUGCUAAGUUUGGUCCAAGGUGGCCUUACAAUUCACACACAAACAUUGGCUUGAAAGAAAGAUGGGUUCAAGGUGAGGGAACUGAUCCAUGAUGCGGAUUCAGCUACUUGAGCUAAGGAAGGAGGGUGGUAAAAACAACGAUUCUAGCUCAAGUAUGUAUAUUGGUAUCCACAAGCCCAUUCAAGCAAUGCAUCAAAAAAUAUUUUCAAUUCAAGUUCAGGGUUAUCACUUAGUUAGAGUUGAGUGUAAUUCAAACUUGCUUCUCAGAUUCAAAUCGUUUCAAGCUUUACAAGCACAGAAUGAGUUCACAAGCAUAUUUAGUUCAAGUUCUCAAGUGAUUUACUCUCUAGGAAAAAAUCUAUCAUUGCUCCUUGCACUGAUGCAAUCCUACAUGAUGCAACUAGACUCGAUCUUAGAAUGCAAGAUGCAACUAGAAUGAUGCAUUUUUUUUUGUGAAAUUUUUCAAUUUAUCAUAUGUACUAAGCUAGAUGAGACUCAAGAAUGCAAAAGUCAAAUAAGAACAAAGAAAACAAGAUCAGAAAACACAAAGCUCCUCCCCCACACUUAAAUAACACAAUCCCUUGUGUUAUAAAAGCGUGUGAGAGAAGUAAAAAGACAAACUAAACAAAUGCAAGAUGGUAUAUACAAGAUGCAUAUUUACAAAGGUUUGAAGUCGAUACCUCAGUCUGAGAGGUCUGAUCCCAAGUAGUACGAGGGAUUUGACGUUGAGCAGGAGGGUGUGGACUGACGUGGUGGGCUGCUCUCCGAGGGUUCCGGUAAGAAAGCUGUGGCAGGAUCGAUCCAGUCCUCUUUUCCUGGUGGAAACUCCGGGUUCCUCGCGUUUGAGCUUUCUCCAACCUCUUCUUUGUAACUUGUGCGGUUGAGGUUGUCGAGUUCUUGUCAGGUGAGUAUGGCCUGGCGAGUUGCUUGACUUUCUUUUUCAGGUGCCUUACACAGUCCACCAACGCAUGAAUGGUCUUGUCUUGCCACUUACACCAUUUUUGGAGGGUGUUCACUCGCGAAUACAGCUUCUUGGUGUGGUAUUCAGGCUCACCCCACACGUAUUGAUCAAAAUGAUAUCGGCCUGCCCAGUCCUUCUCUCAGCGUGACUUUGUUCCUCAUUCUCACAUCCGGCCGGGCCAUUCUUGUUCCGAGGCUUGCUAGACGCGGCUUUGGUGCACUUGCGCAUGGGUGGGUCGAGAGAUUGGUUGUACAACUGAUCUUUGAGGACAUAGAAGGAGACGUUACACUGCUUAUCAAGUAUGGUGAGGCCUCGGUUAGGCAGUAGAACCUGUGUGCCGUCUCUGUGCAUCAGUGUGAAGUUGUAAACCCAUCUGUCUCGUGACUUGCCUCUGAAGAAUCCACUAUUACUUAGGUAUUGCUCAUCAAUGAUAUUCGGCCUUGAUGGUGAAUCAGGGAAUAUGAACCCCUGAGCUCUCAAAAUCUUAGUGACAAUCCAACCGUUCUGAAGCCUCCUUGCUCCUUUCUUCUUUCGGUCGCACCAGACAUUGUGCCUGUAAGUAAGCAUUUGAAUCGCAAAGAACGCGCCUAAAGAGGGUACAUGCAUUGGUCCUUGGAACUCCUUCUUGUUCUUCAUUUGAGUGAUGAGCGGCUUCAGUCCAAGUCCUAACAGUUCAAGCUCGGCCGUGUGAAUAACACCAGGGUUAUCGGUCAAGAAGAAUGUAGAGGCUAAAACUCGGUUGGUGUAUCGGAUCGCAGGGUUUCUGAUGCAACUCGUCUUGCUCUUGCCUCCCAGGUAAGGUCCAAAAGCGAUUGUUUCCCACAAGGCAGCCAACUCUUCUUUUGGGUACACAAACUUGUCAAGCGAGCUUCCGUUCUUUUCAAAUCCAAAUAUCUCAUCAAGCUCCUUGAAACUGACCUUGUAGUGCACGUUUUCCAUGUCAAACUCAAUGUGGCCGAACCCUUUUCCAUGUAAGCGAUUGGGAUCUCUCUUGGGGUAGAUGACAACCUCCAAAGUGGCAAGAAACUGUUGUGUGAAUCCCUCAUAGGCAACAUCACUCAUCUCAAAGAACUCGGCCAAACCCAUGUUUUGAAAGAUGAGGGUAACAUCUUCUAGUAUCUCAAGCCCCCUCAAAAGCUCCUUAUCAGGAAACCGACCUUGAGCCACUCUUAUAGAGUUAAAGUGGUCCAAGUACUCCUCAGUAGUUGGGAAAUGCUCUUCCUCGGGCUCGGGCUUCGGUUCCUUCUUGGCCUUCUUGCCACUUUCUUCUUUGUGAGGGACUAGGGCUCUGAGCUCGUCGUCAUCAGAUCCAACGACUGCCUGCUUCCCAUUCUUCCUUGAUUCAAGAGCCGGUGCCGGAGUGAGAUCGGCGUUCCUUGCUCGUUUAGCGGCUGGCUCACCACGGCCACGGCUUUCCCUUUUGUACCUCCCCUCUGGACCUCGCUUUUGUUCAUCUCAUGAGCAGGAACAGUUUGUUUGCCGGUCAUCUGCAAAGGAGAUUCUCACGGAAACCGUUAGAAUCAAGUAUAUCAAUAAGCACAAGAUAGCAAAACAAAGCUUUUCUUCUAACAAGACUGGUUUUAUAGCUUCCUCAAACAUCAAAGAGAGUAUCAACAAGCUAGAACAACUGGAAAGAGUCAAAAUAUCUAGACAGUUCAGCUCAAUAUCUCAGUUCACAUUUAAAGCCGAUUCCAAGCGCAUUUUCUCAAGAAUUUUAAAAACUCAAGAACAAGUGAUUUUCAGAGCAAAGACCAGUUUUUCAUGUGUUGUCUAUCGUGAUGGAAUUUUUAAUAUUGUUCCCAAAGGCCGAUACGUUCUAAAAGAAUCGAUUCCACAUUUUACAAACAUUAAAGCUCGCAAAUAAUGAAGGAAAAAGAUGAGUUCUUUGAGAUGCAAAUACCUUUGGGAAUUCAAGGUUUAAGCUUAGUGAGAUGCUUAUGCAGAAUAGACAACACCCUAACGAGUCUAGAGCACUUGGAAUCGCGUGAAAUGAAUGAGAGAUGAGAGAGAUGUGUUCGCGAAAUGCAGAGAAAAGAGUGAAGAAGGCAAACUCUGCGUUUUAGCUCAGUAUGGAGGCUGGUAUGGGCUGGAGCGCGCUUUCCAGCUGGCAUUUGGACUGUUGUGGGACUGGUCCCCCCCUCUGCUCCAGCUCCAACCAUUGACCGCGCCAAAAAUAUCUUUGACCGAGCAUUCAAAUUUGAAUUACCGCGCAAAGCCUUCAAAUGGAUGCGGUAUGGGAAUGACGUGGGCCGUACGGUCUGGAGUGCUUUUUCUUGUGUUAACAUGAGCGGCCUCGGCUUGUUCCACCACGAGGGCACCAAACCGAGCGAUUUGAGUAACUCUCUGUGGCCUCCAAGUCGCUUCCAUAGACCGCGCAAAGCCUCUUUUUCGAUCUAAGUGUUCCAAGUGUUCUUGUUUUUAAUCGUUCUUGAAACCGGGCACCUCGGCACUCUCCACCACGAGGGUAUAAUGCCGAGGUCACUUAUUUUAACAAAGAACACUUGGUGCUUGGGGGUUUAAACGGGCUGGCCUUGGUGUAAACUGGUCGCGGCCUCGGAUCGAGGUUUUUGACCGUUUUAAGUGAGCAUCGGUCCUCGGUAUGAUUAUACCGAGGUGUUUACACCGUGAGCCUCCCCCACACUUAGCCAUUUCACCACUUUACUUCAUAUACACGGCCAUGAUGAAAAUAAGUCGAGGAGUUUAGCUGAGGUUUUCAAGCUUAUACUCGGUAAAAGGUGACCGCGGUAUGAAUAUACCGAGGGUCGAUACCGAGGCUAUGAAUACUAUCCGACUUAAAUCGUCAGGCCGUGUAUUUUUCAAGCUUUUCUCUCAAGGCUCACUGUCUAACUCCUGAAACACUUAACAAACCCUUCAAAAAGCUUCAAAUAAAAAGAAAAAGAAGAUGAAAAACGAAAUAUGUACAAGGAUAAGCUUGGGGUGUCUCCCAAGAGCACUUUGUUUAACGUCUCUAAGUUUGACUUUUCAUACCUUUUCAGGCUGAUUCCGGUUCAAGAAGAGGAACUGAGGUAGCUCCCUCUCUUGUUUCUGAUGCCAAGUAAUGCUUUACUCUCUGACCGUUUACCACAAAGCCUUGUCCAUCUUUUCCUUUUAACCCGACGGCUCCAUAAGGCCUUACUUCAAGAAUUGUGAAUGGACCGGACCACCUAGACCUCAGCUUCCCAGGGAACAGCUUAAGUCUCGAGUUGAACAACAGAACUUGGUCCCCUUCUUUGAACUCUCCCUUGUGUAUCUUCUUGUCAACAGAUCUCGUGAAGAACACGUCAAGAACAUGCAUGAACCCUAGUCUUUGAUCCAUCUUCUCGUGUGUGUUCUUGAGCCGUCUUGUUCUCGAUUCUGGAGUUGUGAAAAGGGGCCUUGCCAUAAAAUUUCACGGGGCUUGGUAGUCGAGAGGUUCGGGAGAACAGAGUCCGGCAUGCACGCCGAGGCCAUUACACCGAGGUGCACGUUCAACACUUAGUCGUUUCCAGCUUCAUUUCUUACGUGUGCAUGCCUUGAUCUCAUCAUGCCGAGGUGUCAGCACGAGGUCUAGUCCAAAAUACUCCCAAGAUAUGAGCCUUGACUUGAGCAAUGUCGGGAUACUGAUGCCGAGGCUUGAGAAAAUACUUAGCGCGUAUCGCAACUCAUUUAGGCUCGUAUCGACCAUAUUGCCUUCCGGAAGCAGUAACUUUCAACACACGACUCCAAUUGCUCUGAGACCAGUUCCAUAGUCAAGAUGACUCAAUAAGCUCGAACUUUGGUGAAGAAACCGUCGGAGCUUGGGAAGUGGAAGGCUUCCUGGAUUUCACAUCUUUGCGCCGCAUUAGAAUCACCGGAAAAUAAGCUUUUGGACCGAUGUGAACUCCGGAGACUUUAUCUUCCAAACCACUGUUCCGAAUAGAGUGAUUCCAACUGUUCUGAGAAGGUCUUUCACAGAUAGCAAACUUUGAUGAAGACCUGGCAGGCUAGUUCGGACUGGAAAGGCUCCUUCCAUCGUGAUCUUUGAAGUCCGCUGUUCGGUUCUCGAGUACGCGCAGUACUGGUGCAUUUUCCAGAAGCCGUAUCUUUCUCCUCACUGGUCCGAAUUGGAUGAUUUCAACUGUUCCGGGAUCUUUGCUUGAUUAUCUCCAACUUUUAUAAAGACCCCGCCAACUGAUUCGGACCGGAAGGUUCUCCGGAUUGCUGAUCUUUGAAACGCGCGGGCAAGGAUAGGUUUUAGCCGAGAAAAGCUUCCCGCGGUAAGGAAAAUGACCGAGGGCUAUGUACUGCGGUAAGCUUUUUAGCCGUAAAAUUCCUCUUGCCUCGGCCAAAAACUUAACCCGAGGUAAUUUGCACCCGAUACUCGACCUUGGUCGAUUUUGGUCGAUCGGUAAGGGUUUUGGUCGAUAAUGAGCGUUCGGUAAGCUUUUUGACCGAGGUUUCUAUCCAGCCGGUACGAGUUUUGGCCGAGAAAUUCCUCCAAGCGAUUUUCACCGUUUUCUUUUCUGCUCCUCUUCUUAAGCUCCAAAUGGCUCCCAAAGCACCUGAUAAAGACUUCAAAACAUGCAAAACUCUUUGGGACCUAAUGCAAGCCCUAAAUCCUAUUUUGAUGCCUAAAGACUCAAUUUACAUUGGAAAACACAUGAUGAGGACUCUAAAAUGCAACCUAAAUGAUGCAAAAUAUAGAUAUAUCAAACCCUCAACACGACAGCACAUAUCACCCCUCCAUAAAUAUGAACAAGGAGGAAGCUUAACUUUCCACUCCAUAAAUAUAGACAAAGGGGAGGCUUAACCUUCCACUCCAUAAAUAUAAAAGGAAGAGACUUACCUUCCACUCCAUAAUUAUUAUUUGAGGAGACAAAGUCUACCAUAUAAUAAUUUUUUUUUUCAGAGAAGGCAUAGUGUAACACCCGUAUUUGGGAAAAUCUUACCAAGUAGGAAGAUUGGUUACUGGAAUUAGAUUUAUGUAGAGCCGAAAUGGGAAAAAUCCGGGAAGGUUAACUGAGGAAAGUCGGAAAAUGGAUUUAGUCAGAGAAAACUGGGUUUAGUCGGUGAUGCCGAGCUAAGUCCAACAUUCGCCUAGCCAAAUCAAGCUUUGUCCGAGCUAAAAUCAGCUGCCGGGAUUUUUGGAAAGUUUAGCUGGAUAUUCUGACAAGCCGAGUUUUUUAAAUUUGGUUGGAAUUCAGAUAAGACAGCCUUUGUCGGCUUCGGGUUUGCGCAGGAGCGGUUAUCGGGUAAGCGCUUUCGGGAAAAAGUGCUGGAACGGUUAUUGGAUUUGGUCGAGCAAGCGCUAGCGUGGAAACAGUUAUUGUCGGGUAAAAUAUACGCGUGAGCGGUUUUUAGCCAAGAGGGAGUUCAUAUUGGCGCGAGAACGAUUUCUGGGCGAUUUUCUGCAGAAAAACAAGUGAGCGCCUAUAUAUUAAAGGGUUCUGGCUCAUUUUCUCUUCUUCGAGCGAUCAAAAACCUCAGAAAGAUUGAGAGAAACAGUUUUAAGAGAAGUCAGUCAAGAGAAAUUAUCUGUAGCCGAGAGAUAUCCGAUUCAAGCCGAGAGCGACUACAAUUUUGUCGAGUGUAGUCUGGAUUCAGCCGAGCCAUCGUGGGAACAAGUUAGAAAGAUCGUGCUACACAUAGCCUAUCUUUCUGAAAAAAAUAAUACAUAAAUAGAGAAGGCAUAAUCGAUAACAACAAAAAAAUUAAAAACAAGCCUAUCAUAGAUUUUGAGGAGAUGGAGCCUACCAUUCCGUUCAUAAUAUAGAAACUUAAAAAGAUAACAUGAAUGUAACUAUUACCUUCAAAUUGAUGAAUGAACGAACAGUAACAGAGAGAUGAUCGUGUUUUCCGUAUACGAACGAGCAAGGAGACGAUCAUGCUGAAAACGUGUUGUGAAAAACAACUUUGGGAAGGCGUUCGUAUAUAUGUAAACACUAGAGAAGAGAGACUUAGAAAGAGAGUUAGAGAAUGAAGAAAAAAACUAUCAAGAUAUUUUCUUAUUUCUCUCACUAGAUUGUCAAUCUUUUACAAAGCCAAGCUCACAUAUAUAUAGCAAAGAAGGUUGGAGAUAAAGUUUUAUAAACUUGGGGACAAAGUAGUCCAUGGGAGAUGAAUCUCUAGGGAGAUGAAUAUUUAAUAGCUAAGAAGUUUGGGGAGAAAACUAUUCCCAAAUGUAUAAUCAAUAUAUUUUAUAACAUAAAGAGUGUUUUCCUCUUGAAGCUUUUAUGCUUUGUUUUGCUUGUCUAUUUUAAUUGUUUUCCUCUUAAAAUCAAGUGUAUAUCAUUAGAAUAUUAUGGGAGAUGUUUUACUCUUCGUGUGAAACUUCUGCAAUUUAAGUUGCUUUUUCAUGUGUUAAUUUGUGUGAUUCAAUCAACACCUCCAUCUCCACCUCUACUAUCUUCUCACCAUCCAUUUCAAGUUGUAGGCUUUGAAAUCACUUGAUUUAUAAGAUUGUGAGAUUAAAUUUUAUAUCAACAAAUGCCACAUCACCUUUUGACAGACCUAUAUUAGUGCUCCAACACCAUCUAGCUACUUUACACAUAUUGAUCAUACAACAGGAUUAUCAAACAAGUAUGAUUGUGCUUCUACUAAUGCUUUCCUAGAUUCAGAUUUGAUAAUAAGAUGUCAUAAGUUAUAAGUAAGAAAUGGAUAUUCUACCCAUUUCUGGUUUGAUCAAUGGUCUCCAUCAGGCAAACUGAUGGACAUCAUAGGAGCAUAGGGAGUUAUUGACAAGGGGAUUCCAGCACACACAACUUUGGGGCAUGUUCUCGAUAUUCUGAUAAAAACACUUUUGCAAGUCAAUAAGAUCAAUUAAUCUCUUGGUGAUAUUUUAGCAUAAGAGGAACAAUCCAAAUGGGAUAAGGUUCAAUCAGUAAGAAUUUGUAUAAUACUUCUUAAUCCUAGCAAGCAAGACGUUUUGGUUUUUCAACUAAUGUCUAAGUGAUUUAAAUUAAAUACAAAUAAAUAAGGAAACUAAACAAAGCAAUUAACUAAGCAAGAUUAACAAUAAUAAAAAGAUGAAUCAUUGGGUGAGAUCAUUCACUUUGCUAAACUCUAGAUAUGAUCUAUGAUGCUAAAACAAUCAAUUACUUGCAUAAUCUAGAUCAUUAAUUUAGAGUAAUUCACACUCAUGAAACUAAUAUUUUUGCUAAUUACUUAAUCAAGAACAAACGAUCAUUUGUGAAAAAGCAAUUAUCAAAAAUUAAUAACAGAUCAAAUGACUAAAUAAACACCUUAUACAAUCAUUCUCAUGAGUUAAGCAUGCAAAUCCUUUAUCUAAAUUCAUUGGAGAAAUUCAUCAAACACCUUAUGGGUUGUGAAAUUUCCUAAAAGACUAAGAUUUAUCUAUCUCAAGCAAAUCUGACAUAAAGUCACUUAGAUAAAUAAGAAAACAAGAAUCUAAAACCUAGAAAACAUAGAUCAACCCUGAAAUCACCUUAAUCUAUCUCACACAUGGAUUCAAAAGAUAAACUACUCACUAAUCAUGUUUAACUAAACAAAUCUGAUGAAAGAUAUGUUAAGUAUCAUGAUUAUUAAUGAUUAAGAAAAGAUAAAAAGAAGAUAGAUUAGAGUAAAUUAAAUAAGAUUCAAACUUGCACUGAACUCAAUAAAAGAUCUGUUUACAAAUUUUAGAUACCAAAAAAAAAAAAAAUUUACAAAGGGAAGAGAUGUGUGCUCUAUAACUAGGCCUAGGGUAUUUAUAGGUGGUGGUCCACGUUCAGGUCUUGGGCUCCAUACCGGUCACAUUCUGACUGGUAUGAGUGUUCUCUUUGGGUGUCUUGGUGAUGUGGUCGUGUGUUGAGGGUUGUCAAGUUUUACCCUAAAUGAAAUCAAUAGCCGCAAGUGCACAGCUGAUCGAUUGUAGUACUUAGGGAUCGAAUCCACAGGGAAGGAUGAUCUUUCCUGCAAAAGCCUACGAAAGAAAUAUGAAGUAAGGAAGUCUAUAACCAAACGGUUUUGUGGGGGUUUUGGUGGUGUGUUUAAAACGUAAAAAUGAAAUUUAAAAAGAAACAACAGGAAUUAAAAUGACCUAAUAACUAAACUUAAUGAAAACGGGUAAAAACGGGAAAAACGGCAAACCUAAUUGCUUAAAUGAAAAUCGAUUGAAAGGGAAUGAAAAUAGUAAACUAAAGCUUGAAAUAAAAUGGUGUGGAUCUAUAAGAAAAGAGGCGCUGGGGUUCAGGGAAGUUUUCUCAGGUGUACGAACGAUUCAAAACAUUGCUAGAGAGUAAAUUUGAUAAGAUCUUAGCUUAAACUUUUCGAACUGGAGUCACGGACGUAUGAAUACGCCACUGUCGUGAUCAUAGACAACUAUCUCUCUCAACCCUGACCAGUAGGUUUCCACUCUGGUCCUGGAAAAGAAGAGAUGCAUUAUGUUUAAGACUCGUCAGCAUUCACAAAUCUCUCAUAGGUAGGUUUCCACUCCUAUGUUUGUUUUGCUCUCCCAAACUAGAUCUGACACCGGAUGAACACUUUCGUGUCACCAAUCAUCUGGAUCAGAUUGUAGUUCAUGACGCAACUCUCAUGCAGUAAAAACGAAUUCAGAAGAAAAAGUUCUAAGAUUCGGCUCAAAAGCUCAUGGAAUCCUCACCGAACAUAUAAAUCCCCAUCGAAAAUCCCUUAGUCCCAACAAUAAAACUACUCAGACAUGAUGAACGAAAUCAAAAACAUACAGUAAAACCUCUAUAAAUUAAUAAUGUCGGGACCAUAAUAUUUUAUUAGUGUAUCGUGAUAUUAAUUUAUCUAUAAAUUAAUAAUUAUUAAUUUAUUGUAUAAAUUAGAUAAUGUUUGUGUACUUAAUUAAUGUACAUUUUUAAUUCCUUAAUUUUUUAUACUAAUAUUCCAUAUUUUUAUGUUAAUAUAUGAAGCAGUUUUCUUCAAUUUAUGUUAGUAUUCCAUUUUUUUAUUUCUUAAAUUUUUCCUUGACAUUCAUGAACUUGAGGUUUUGAUUAAUUAUCUCGGUUAUCGGAACAAAAUGGAUGUUAAUACCAUACUCGACUAUCCUGCUGAAAACGAUACAUGCUCAGAAGUUCAGAGUUUAGAAGAGAUUGUGGCUACUGUCCUUAAUGUUGAUGAUGAAGUUGAAGAUGAUGUUAUGGAAUCUUGGUCAAGAAAUUAAUGUGACUUGUGAAGUACAGCAAUUAUUAGGAAACAAUCGAGUUAGAGCUGUAGCUAUGAGUGCGACAGAGGGUUUAAAGAGAGGAAUGGACGUGGUUGAUAUGGGAAAUCCUCUAAGUGUUCCAGUCGGCGGAGCGACUCUAGGACGAAUUUUCAACGUGCUUGGGGAACCUGUUGAUAAUUUAGGGCCUGUCGAUACUCGCACAACAUCUCCUAUCCAUAAAUCCGCGCCUGCUUUUAUCCAAUUAGAUACAAAAUUAUCUAUUUAGAGCAGCCGGACGGACUAUUCUAGUGAGUCUAGUGACUACUAGAGUAGAGUUGAGUCAAAAGGUAUGGUAUAGCAGCCUUUCCGAGCGAGCCUCUGGGAUCUCCUGUAAACCCCCAUGAUGUGGUAAAGGGAGGAUAUUAGGGGAAGCAGUGAGUGGAGAUUCCCCUGCGGAGAGCCGGAUGAGGGGAGACCUUCACGUCCGGUC